rnacentral:misc_RNA from 1 species
UCUGGAUCCCGUGCUCUGGUGUUCUGUGUCUGGAUCCCGUGCUCUGGUGUUCUGUGGUAGAACGCACAGCGUCGUGCGAGUGCACGUUCGUGAGGAGGAAACACGCCUUGGACAAAGCCUGCAGCCAGGAUCAGAAAGCGUAAAUAAAGCAGCGCGUUCCUUCACCUCGGGCAGAAUAACUUUGCAGAAGCCCACAGGUUCUUCACAGAGAUCUUAAGGAUGGAUCCAAGAAACGCAGUGGCCAACAACAACGCUGCCGUGUGUCUGCUCUACCUGGGCAAGCUCAAGGACUCCCUGCGGCAGCUGGAGGCCAUGGUCCAGCAGGACCCCAGGCACUACCUGCACGAGAGCGUGCUCUUCAACCUGACCACCAUGUACGAGCUGGAGUCCUCACGGAGCAUGCAGAAGAAACAGGCCCUGCUGGAGGCUGUCGCCGGCAAGGAGGGGGACAGCUUCAACACACAGUGCCUCAAGCUGGCCUAGCUGCCUCCAACACACUACGUCAGAAGGACCCGGGUCUUUGAAACUGUGUCUUGAAGCUAAUGUAUUAAUGUGAC